AAUGUUGUUGUGGGCUCUUCCCGCGAAUUUUGUGCAACUCUUCUACUUCCUGGAGGAAUAUAAGUCCACCAAGCCAGGAAAAAGAAAAGAAGGGAUGCUGCUUUGCCGAUGAAAGCUAAUGCUAGCAUAUAUCUGAAACAAGCGGCCAUUAAUGAAAUUAUAGAGGACGCCAUAAUCAAGUGUGGAACGAUUUCUACAGAUAUAGAAAUAAUUAAACGAAGAUAUACAAACAUGAAGAAAUGGACUGGACUUUCAUAAGCUUGCAUACUAAGUACUAAGAUAAGAAAUUAUACCGACUUCGACGUUAUUUAGUCGCAUUCCUUGAUAACAUCCUGCGUGACAAGGGGAAUAGUACGUGAUUCCAUCAACUCCGCAUAUUGGACUGAACUCUGAUCUCGAGCAGCCGCAGCCAUUAUUGCACGUGUUAUCCAAUGAAAAAGUUUUUCUAAUUUCAUGCAUCCAUGCACAUACAAAUAACAAUCACUUACUUGGUCUGAUUCGAAUAAGGUAUAGUGACCCCUGCGAAGUUUAAAUUCGGACAAUUCAGAACGAAGCACAAAGUGAAGGCGAUGCAGGACGCGGUGGCUAGUAGACAGAACUUUAAAAUGCCCGAACAGGGCAAAUUAAAACGCUUUAUGAGGUAACCACCGAGGAAGGUACCUCCACCGCCUGCAGGUACAGUCACCAAACCUGCAAGAAAAAAGAAAAAUCUAGGUAAAAAAAUGAGGAUGAAAGAGUAUUCCAUAAUUCUCCUCUCGGUGCUAUCGAAAUUUCACGAAAUUACGUCGAAACAUUAGUCAAUCGUAAAUAUUCCGUAUAAAAACGUCGAGGAUGAUUUAUCUCGCGACAUACGUGCGGAUAAUUGACGGUAACAUAUCGUUCAGUCGAUAUUUUAACGAAAGAGUAGGAGAAAGAGAGAGAGAGAGGGAUAAAAAAUGUUUCGAGGGAGGUAUUUGACGAAAUAUCGUCGAUGAUUACGCGUUACGACUGACGAGAGGCGGUCGAGGUUGUUUCUCUCGUUUUUUUUCUCUCUCCUUCUUUCUUUCUUUGAUUGAUUACAACAGAAUGCUUGAAUAUUAUUCACCCAUUAGUAACGCGGCGGAACUAGCGCUGACGUUGAAUUGAUUUUCGAUCAGCUUGGGGAGAAAAGCGGCGAAACCGGCGAUAAGCAAUCCUUCACUGGCACCUGCCAGAUUUAACAUGAAAAAGCCAGGAUUACCGAGCAGAUCGGUCAGGGCGCGAGGCAGUUCUCGUAUUUUCGAGAAUGCCUCUCCUCGAUCGCUCGAGGACGAUUGCUUUCUGGUGCUCCUUUGGUGCGCCUCUGACACCCUCUCUUUAGCCAAUUUCUCUGAACCUGAAAAAGAGAUAUUUAUUCAUGCAAAUUUGUGUGGAUAGAACUGUUACUUGAACGUAUAUCUGGAUGAUUGUUGAGAGGAUGUAAUUUGAGUGGAAAAUUGUAAAUAGAAGGAUCUAUAAUCAUUAAAGUUUUAUUGAUAUUGGAUAUUGUUUCAGUGUAAUUUUGAGGUUAUGCAUUGGAUAUUCCUGAAAUAAUAAUUUAAAGAGUGGUAAUCUUAUUAUAUAAUAGCGUGUGUUGUAAAAUAUUUCACAAUUCAAUUACCAGGCAAAGCUGCUGGAAACGCUAAGAUGGGUAUAGCGAUUAUGAAACAUAAAACUGCAGCCGCUAGGAAACCUAUCCACCAUGCUCCCACCCAUACGUUGCUGUUUGGUGUUAAGCCAAUCCUGGAAAUUGGUUCCUUAAAUUAUUACAAACACUUUUGCAAAUCACACAGAAUCGUGAAUAGAAAAAAGAAUAUUUAUUAACAAUUAUUAAGUGCUAUAUUAGAAAUUUUCUAUUCUCAAAAAUUACUUCAAAUAUAUCAUCAUGCUUUUUAAAUUUGAAUAAGAUGAAAUCCACGAUUCUUAUUUUAAUAAUUUUUCUUUUGGAUUUGAAAAUUUGAUGACAUUUUUUGAACAUUUUUAUCGUUCAAUUAUGGAGAUCUCGACUUACUCCACUUUGAUUUAAUCUUAUAUUUAAUCUUUGAAAUUCUAUCUUUUCAAAUUAAGAAAAUUCUUUUAAUAACUCCACGUUAAUCAAUCUAGGAUUUAACAAUAUUUAAACGGAAACAAGUUGAAAAUGUUUCGUCUCUAAUAUCGCGAAACGGGUCAACCCUAUCUUUUUUAAACGCUUUAAAGUAGGCCGCGUAAAACAAAUAAGAGUUGGGAAGGAUAUAGCCGGGGUAAAAAUGUAAUUAUCCCGGAACAGUAGAGCGGAUUGUAGUUCGUUCAACACGGUGAGUAGGCCGGAAUUGCUCCACCGUCGCGGAACUUCCGGCGCAUCUCGCCGCGGUUUUUUAAUUGCGCCAGCGAGAAAUCCCCUACCGAGUCGAGCUUCUGCAACUUUUUCGACUAAUUGCCGGUUACAGAGCUUCUGGAAGUUUCUCUUUUUCCUCGGCCUCGAUGAUAUCGAAAAAUUUCUAAUUUUAGAAAAAAAUACAUAUAUAUAUAUAUAUGCAUAUGUAUAGAAAAAGGACGAUGAAGAUUUUCAUUUUGUAGAAUAUUUUAUUUUAUUUUCCAUUGGUGAACAUUUAUUAUUUUGUUUCAAAAAUAUCAAGAGAUUUCCAAAUAGAUUUUUGCACGUUCAUAAAUUUUGAAACAUUAAAAAUUUAACGAUCAAGUAAUACUUUCCAUAUGCUUUCUAAAUAUGAAGAUAAAAAUACAAGAAUGCAGCUUCAUGUAUCCACGAACACAAUACUCUUCAAUCUUAGUCGCUCAUCAUCCUCUAUUACUUCGCACAAUGCGCCAUCAUCAUCGCACGGGGCAUAACCGAGAAAAUUCUUUCAGAAUCGGGAUAUUACAGCGGCAUAACUUAUCUCGAGAUAGUGAGAGAGCGGAAAAUUGUGAAAAAGUAUCCAAGUUACUCGAAAUGACUGUCUGCCGUCGAAUCUUGGUCCGCUAAAUUAAAUGAGGCGCGUGCAUGCAGAGAGGCGAGCUCGUAACCGGAAGUGGCCGUAAUGCAACUAGUUACCCCAUUCUUUUCCUUGCUUCCGGCUUCGUACACCGGAAUAGCGGAAGGAAAUGUAAUUGGACUCGCGGGAAAUGUUAUUAGCUCUCCACAAAACGUUUCGUUUCUGUUUCGUUUUAUUAAAGAUCGCGAAAGGAUGAGGCGUCUCUCUGUUUGCAAAUUAUCGGAUUGCGCCUGCUUCGACACGCAAUUUAAGUUUUGCUUGGAAAUCUUGGUAAACCUUGUUGCGAGGCAGCCUUUAAACUUUCGCCGUUUAGGUGUUGCGAUAAUCGAAUUUUAAAUUGAGGAUUAGGGGCCUUUUAUCGUGAAAGUGCUUAAUCUUUAGGGCGAAGAAUGUUGUUUGAUUAAUGGAAGGGAUUGUUUAGCGAGGAAAAUUUAAUACUUUUUGAUAAAUUUUUUUUAAAACAUUGAAUAUUUUGUAUGGAUUUUAUUGAUAAAUACGAGGUCCUAUUUUGUUUAAUUUUAAUUGGAAUAGCGAUGAAAAUUUAAAAACAAUGGUUCCAUCGCAUCGAGAUAUCUUCUAAACAAAUAAUUUUCGAUUGAAAGUAAAUUUUUAUAGAUACGAAACAAUAUGUUUCGUAAUAAUAAUUCAUUAAAUAUCAUAUAAUGAAUCAUUUAAAGAUAAUCCACAAAAGAAUUAUUAAAAGAUUAUACUUUCUUCGUCUACGCUUUUAAAUUUUUAUUUGAAACAUUCUUUCCCAUAUUAUUAAACUCAAUUAAGAUAUUGAAAAUGAUCAAGUUAUCUUGUUUACCCAAUAGAUAUAAUAUUUCACGUUGAAUCGAUUCGAUAUGACGGACAAGGACUUUUUUUUUAUCGAUUGGCGAGGCAGAAUAUUCCUAGCAGAGGCUUUACGUAACUUUUUUUCUCAUCAAAGUUACCAAGGCCAAUGGAUCUCAUUUUUUCCCUGGUAAAACCUCGACUGCGAAGAGGUGAUUGAUUGCCCGGAAACGGCUGACUAACUGCGCGAUCAUCCCUUAGCAAACCUAACUGCACUACACCGACAAGGAAUCGCCGUUUACUUACCCUCUCUCUCGUUUUUCUCUCUCGUUUUUUCCCACUUUCCCAUAGUAACCGAUCUUUAAACGACGUUCGAGUAACUUUUCCAUGUUGAUUUUACUCGUUGACAGUGAACGAAAUUGAAAAGGAAUUUCUUUAGAAAAACGAAGACAAAUUUAAUAAUUAAUUUUACCUGUAUCUUUAAUAAACAAAUCAUUAAAUUCCCCAUUUUGUGCAAUUUAAAAGCAGAAUCAUUAUUUUCUAUAUAAUUUUACCAAAAUUUUUCGAUGAAAUUUUCGCGUUUCCAAAGGAAAAAAAAAGUUUAUUAAUUAAAUGCUUCCAACUGCGAUCAUUACCCGUUCGAAAUUCCGCAAAAAAUGUUCUCUACCGUCCCCGUGUUUACAUCGAUUCAUUUCUAGGAGUGGAGCUUUCAGAAGAAAGUUGCAAGGGUUCUAAAUUUACUGAUGUCCACUCGGUUCCUCCGUAGACUCAGUUAACCGUGAAACGCGAAGGGAAAUCCUUUCGACUUUUAAUUUCAGUCCCCAACCGUUUCUUUCCCUUCUUCUUCUCCUUUCUCUUGUCGUUCUCGAUGUAAGCUGUUACCAUAAUAAUUUCUUUGCUCCUCGAGCUUUAAAAGGGAACAGGGGUGUGUCUCGAUUUAUUAAUCGAGGAAAGAAGUAGAAGGGAAAUGAUUGCUCGCGGAAUGUUUUGACACUCGAGGCAUUUAAUCGGUGCAAGGGAUCGGCACAAAAGUGGAAACAAAGGAACGAAAGGGAUAUUUAUCUUUUCGCGCUUUCUUAUUCCUCGAAGAUAAAUCUCGAGAAGAACAACGUUUUAUGGAUAUUUUAAUGCUUGGAAUUUGUGUCGUCAUAUUAAUAUAUAAAAUAUCAUUUUUGUGAAAUAAACUAUUGCUAUUUAUUAGCGCUGAUACAGCUUUGUUUAUUUAACGCGUAUCGCAAUAAAUAUAAACGUAUUGAAAUUAAAUCCAACAAAUUAAAGAACGCGUUUUCGCAUAAGCUUUUAAAUUGCUUUUUAAAUGGAAAAUCAAUCAAAAUAAUUUUAUAAAUGGAACGGAAUCCUAUAAAAAUGUUGCAAUAAAAUUCUCUCGAAUAAAA